CCCUCAGGAGGGGGAUAACGACUGGAAACGGUCGCUAAUACCCCAUAUGCCGAGAGGUGAAAUGAAUUUCGCCUGAGGAUGAGCCCGCGUCUGAUUAGCUAGUUGGUGGGGUAAGAGCCUACCAAGGCGACGAUCAGUAGCUGGUCUGAGAGGAUGAUCAGCCACACUGGGACUGAGACACGGCCCAGACUCCUACGGGAGGCAGCAGUGGGGAAUUUUCCGCAAUGGGCGAAAGCCUGACGGAGCAACGCCGCGUGAGGGAUGAAGGCCUCUGGGCUGUAAACCUCUUUUCUCAAGGAAGAAGAUCUGACGGUACUUGAGGAAUAAGCCACGGCUAAUUCCGUGCCAGCAGCCGCGGUAAUACGGGAGUGGCAAGCGUUAUCCGGAAUCAUUGGGCGUAAAGCGUCCGCAGGUGGCUUUGUAAGUCUACCGUUAAAGCGUGGAGCUUAACUCCAUUUCAGCGGUGGAAACUACAGAGCUUGAGUGUGGUAGGGGCAGAGGGAAUUCCCGGUGUAGCGGUGAAAUGCGUAGAUAUCGGGAAGAACACCAGUGGCGAAGGCGCUCUGCUGGGCCAUAACUGACACUCAUGGACGAAAGCCAGGGGAGCGAAAGGGAUUAGAUACCCCUGUAGUCCUGGCCGUAAACGAUGAACACUAGGCGUCGGGGGAAUCGACCCCCUCGGUGUCGUAGCCAACGCGUUAAGUGUUCCGCCUGGGGAGUACGCACGCAAGUGUGAAACUCAAAGGAAUUGACGGGGGCCCGCACAAGCGGUGGAGUAUGUGGUUUAAUUCGAUGC
rnacentral:rRNA from 1 species